AUUGAACGCUGGCGGCAUGCCUUACACAUGCAAGUCGAACGGUAACAGGUCUUCGGAUGCUGACGAGUGGCGAACGGGUGAGUAAUACAUCGGAACGUGCCCGAUCGUGGGGGAUAACGGAGCGAAAGCUUUGCUAAUACCGCAUACGAUCUACGGAUGAAAGCAGGGGACCGCAAGGCCUUGCGCGGACGGAGCGGCCGAUGGCAGAUUAGGUAGUUGGUGGGAUAAAAGCUUGCCAAGCCGACGAUCUGUGGCUGGUCUGAGAGGACGACCAGCCACACUGGGACUGAGACACGGCCCAGACUCCUACGGGAGGCAGCAGUGGGGAAUUUUGGACAAUGGGCGAAAGCCUGAUCCAGCCAUGCCGCGUGCAGGAUGAAGGCCUUCGGGUUGUAAACUGCUUUUGUACGGAACGAAAAGACUCUUUCUAAUAAAGAGGGUCCAUGACGGUACCGUAAGAAUAAGCACCGGCUAACUACGUGCCAGCAGCCGCCGUAA
rnacentral:rRNA from 1 species